UACGAAGGGGGCUAGCGUUGCUCGGAAUCACUGGGCGUAAAGCGCACGUAGGCGGACUAUUAAGUCAGGGGUGAAAUCCCGGGGCUCAACCCCGGAACUGCCUUUGAUACUGGUAGUCUCGAGUCCGGAAGAGGUGAGUGGAAUUCCGAGUGUAGAGGUGAAAUUCGUAGAUAUUCGCAAGAACACCAGUGGCGAAGGCGGCUCACUGGCCCGGUACUGACGCUGAGGUGCGAAAGCGUGGGGAGCAAACAGG
rnacentral:rRNA from 1 species